rnacentral:rRNA from 1 species
GACGAACGCUGGCGGCGUGCCUAAUACAUGCAAGUAGAACGCACAGUUUAUACCGUAGCUUGCUACACCAUAAACUGUGAGUUGCGAACGGGUGAGUAACGCGUAGGUAACCUGCCUGGUAGCGGGGGAUAACUAUUGGAAACGAUAGCUAAUACCGCAUAAUAUUGAUUAUUGCAUGAUAAUUGAUUGUAAGAUGCUAUUGAAUCACUACCAGAUGGACUUGCGUUGUAUUAGCUAGUAGGUGAGGUAACGGCUCACCUAGGCGACGAUACAUAGCCGACCUGAGAGGGUGAUCGGCCACACUGGGACUGAGACACGGCCCAGACUCCUACGGGAGGCAGCAGUAGGGAAUCUUCGGCAAUGGACGAAAGUCUGACCGAGCAACGCCGCGUGAGUGAAGAAGGUUUUCGGAUCGUAAAGCUCUGUUGUAAGAGAAGAACGGGUGUGAGAGUGGAAAGUUCACACUGUGACGGUAUCUUACCAGAAAGGGACGGCUAACUACGUG